GAAGAGAGCUUGCUCUCUGAUUCAGCGGCGGACGGGUGAGUAAUGCCUAGGAAUCUGCCUGGUAGUGGGGGACAACGUCUCGAAAGGGACGCUAAUACCGCAUACGUCCUACGGGAGAAAGCAGGGGACCUUCGGGCCUUGCGCUAUCAGAUGAGCCUAGGUCGGAUUAGCUAGUUGGUGAGGUAAUGGCUCACCAAGGCGACGAUCCGUAACUGGUCUGAGAGGAUGAUCAGUCACACUGGAACUGAGACACGGUCCAGACUCCUACGGGAGGCAGCAGUGGGGAAUAUUGGACAAUGGGCGAAAGCCUGAUCCAGCCAUGCCGCGUGUGUGAAGAAGGUCCUCGGAUUGUAAAGCACUUUAAGUUGGGAGGAAGGGUUGUAGAUUAAUACUCUGCAAUUUUGACGUUACCGACAGAAUAAGCACCGGCUAACUCUGUGCCAGCAGCCGCGGUAAUACAGAGGGUGCAAGCGUUAAUCGGAAUUACUGGGCGUAAAGCGCGCGUAGGUGGUUUGUUAAGUUGGAUGUGAAAGCCCCGGGCUCAACCUGGGAACUGCAUUCAAAACUGACAAGCUAGAGUAUGGUAGAGGGUGGUGGAAUUUCCUGUGUAGCGGUGAAAUGCGUAGAUAUAGGAAGGAACACCAGUGGCGAA
rnacentral:rRNA from 1 species